UCUCUCGAUCUUCAAGAGGUAAGAGCCGAUCUUAAGCUCAUUGCAUGUUUUAAGCAAGUUUUAAGUAGAUCUAUGGGUUAAAAUGCAUGUUUAGGUUAUGGUUAUGCUUAUGGGUAUUAAUGUGUGUUCUUGAACAAUGUGAGUUGCUUGAUGUGUUGUAGAUGGGGUUUAUGAUGGUUUGAGGCCCCUAGGAACAUGUAUGCUUGUGUUUGUGUGUUGUAGAAUAGGUUUGAUGCAUGUUGGA
rnacentral:lncRNA from 1 species